rnacentral:rRNA from 1 species
CCUACGGGGGGCUGCAGUAGGGAAUAUUGCUCAAUGGGGGAAACCCUGAAGCAGCAACGCCGCGUGGAGGAUGAAGGUUUUCUGAUUGUAAACUCCUUUUGUUAGAGAAGAUAAUGACGGUAUCUAACGAAUACGCCCCGGCUACCUCCGUUCCAGCAGCCGCGGUAAUACGGAGGAUGCGAGCGUUAUCCGGAUUUAUUGGGUUUAAAGGGUGCGUAGGCGGACAGUCAAGUCAGCGGUAAAAAUGCGGUGCUCAACGCCGUACAGCCGUUGAAACUGGCAGUCUUGAGUGGGCGAGAAGUAUGCGGAAUGCGUGGUGUAGCGGUGAAAUGCAUAGAUAUCACGCAGAACUCCGAUUGCGAAGGCAGCAUACCGGCGCCCGACUGACGCUGAGGCACGAAAGCGUGGGUAUCGAACAGGAUUAGAUACCCGUGUAGUC